AUGAACGCUGGCGGCGUGCCUAACACAUGCAAGUCGAACGAAGCGUCCCGCCCGAAGAAGAGGAGAGCUUGCUCAAAUCGGACUCAAUUGGGAUGACUUAGUGGCGGACGGGUGAGUAACGCGUGGGUAACCUGCCGUGUGCAGGGGGAUAACAGUUAGAAAUGACUGCUAAUACCGCAUAAGCGCACAGUAUCGCAUGAUACAGUGUGAAAAGCCGAGACGGCACACGAUGGACCCGCGUCUGAUUAGCCAGUUGGCAGGGUAACGGCCUACCAAAGCGACGAUCAGUAGCCGGCCUGAGAGGGUGAACGGCCACAUUGGGACUGAGACACGGCCCAAACUCCUACGGGAGGCAGCAGUGGGGGAUAUUGCACAAUGGGGGAAACCCUGAUGCAAGCGACGCCGCGUGAGUGAAGAAGUAUUUCGGUAUGUAAAGCUCUAUCAGCAGGGAAGAAAAUGACGGUACCUGACUAAGAAGCUCCGGCUAAAUACGUGCCAGCCGCCGC
rnacentral:rRNA from 1 species